UGUAGCCUGUAGCAACUAGCAAGUGGCAUGGCAUCUGGGAGCGCCACAGCUGGUAGCCAAUUUGUGUUUGAUGUGUUUUGCAAGAUGCAACUUGCAAUGAGAUGGGGGGAUGAGGAUCGAUCAAGCACUUGAUAAAAGAGACACCAAAUGGGGCAGUACUCUAGUCUAUUCUUUAUUUUGAUCUAUUUCUCUUUAAUUUUCUGUCUUAACUCUAUAUUACAUGGCAUAUUUUUAUUUUAUUUUAUAUAUACUUGCCGUAUCCCCGAAUGGCUGUUUUUGGAAAAUGUCGUAUCCCGUAUUCCCGUAUCCGUAUCCCCGUCUUUCCGUCCCUGUGUCUGUGCUUUUUAGCCAGACGUUACUUGACUUCCUGCAAUGCAAAGCGGUAACUUUCGCUAGCAUCGACACCAGGAGCGACAAGACCAUGCUGGCCCGUGCAUGGAUUAAAAUUCCAGACGAGUACCACGUCGACAUCCAGAGGCAAUUCUGUAUCAAGGGCAGUGGAGAAAGGGACUCCAUGGCUGACCUUGCAGCGGCCAUCACCGACCCCUCCUACAAGAACAUGAAGAAAUCAUUCCCAAAGGAGAAGCACCAGUUCUGGGAGUGGAAGCCGCUAUCCCCGCUACACCUUGAGUACGCAACAAAAGACGGGUAUGUUAGCUACGAGUUAUACCGUAGAAUCCUAAUCAUCAAGAACGGACUACGUCACCUCCACCAACAACCAAUGAAGGAAAGACUCCGCCCACGUAAGAACAAAGACGACGGAUCUACCAACGGCUGGAAGCGCAAGAAGGGAAACAGUUGUUGGUAAAUUGCGAGAAAAUAAAUGCCUACAUUAAACUAACCUAUGUUGUAAAUAUGAUUGUUGUUGCUCAAAGGUUCUGUGUGUAGUAUAUUACUAUUUUACGUUUGAACACAUUGGUGUGCUCAUGUACAAAUGCGUAAUACAUUUUGCAUGUCUAAAUGCAAUUAGUAAGUUAUCUCCUAGUAUUGAGAAAACAUAUAUUGUAUCCAUAAUUAUAGAAGGAUAAAUAUAUGACACGAUGUUAUAUUAUAA